AACCAAUAUAUUUUACACUACCAAAAGGUCUUUCAAGUAAUUAACAAAAUCAAUAUUCAUUUAUGCCAUUUGUUCACCUAUAAUUGGUCAAUUUAUUCAAUUUUUGUACUUUGCCAAUACACUUUUCAGAAACUUUCGUUUCCCUCCAACAAAUAUACUCUCUCUGCAAGCAACACAAGCACCAUACCUCUUUCUGCAAACAUCACCAACACUUGUCCUUGUCUCAUCACUUCAAAAUUCAAAAUAAAGUCCCAUCACUUUUCCUUGUCUUCCUCCUUCUCUCCUAAAACCCUAGCAGACAAUGUUCUCUUCACUUUUCCCUUUUCCAUGUCUCUCUCUUUACUGGUUCUUUACCGAGGAAAAUCAUUUUUCCUUUUCUCUCUUCCUUCUUCGAAAACUAUUUUCUCUCUUACUUCUUCGUUAAACUAUGGAGGCAUGUCUGUUAUUAUCAAUAAUGGUAGAUCUGACGGUGCUGGUUAAGAUAUGCUGGUGGUCUCUGAAAAACUGAGGGUGAAGAUAUCACAUUUGAUGCUUUGAAGAAUAACUACCUUCUUCUUCAGUUGUCGAGUUGUCGUGUUCCUCGAGAGUUUGUCGAGAAGUGGCUCAAGUACGUUCGUGAAGAAUUACCUAUUGUCGCUUUCAAGUGCAGUAAACAACAACAAUGAUCAAACCUAGGAUUAAAAUCUUCUAAGAACAUCAAGCCAGGUAAUGCUUUGCAAUUGAAUGAUUGCUUGGAGCUACGACACUGCUCAAACUAUUGAACAACUAUUCAAGAAGCUAAGAGCUAACAAAAGAUCAUUUUUAUGGCUAAUGUUAAAAGAUAACCUACUGUCAAUUUACCUGUUGUCGAUUUAAAUGCAUUCAUACAUGAAGGUUGCUUACAUUUCUCUCUAUUUUGUGUUAUUGUCUUUGGUAUUAAACUCAUUAUUAAUUAUAUAGUAAACUAAAGAAAAGAGUUUGUGUACCACUAUCUCCGUUAAAAGUUCCUGGCUACCAUUGUAACUCACAGAUUCUAUCCUUCUGGGUCUAUUAGUUGGAUGCGUGAGUGGUGGUUCAUUAGAAAAUAAGUGAUAUAAGAAGAAUUAAUUGAUAUUCAUGCUGCAAAUGUGUCCUUGACAAUUUGCAUUGAAUAUGUUCACUUUUGCUUUUAAUUCGAGAUUUGACUCAUGUAUCAUAAGAUACUAUUAACCAUGGGUUGUUUUAAUCUUUUUGUCCUCUAUUUUAUGGUCACAGUCACAUUGCAUUUUUUUGGUGAUCAUGCACUCUCGGUGGCUUGUAGUUGAUCUCCCUGUCAUUAUGUUUGCUUCCAGUGGGUCAUGGUUGCUUUCUGGUAGACUGGCUAGAAUGCUCUUAAUUGACUGUGAGCAAAAUAGUAAUGACUACCUCUUGACAAUAUCAGGAAUUGAUGCAGCUGUUACAUGUCUUAUUGGUUGUCACAGUGUGGGCAGCAGGCGUUGGGACUAAUUCAGAAUGUUUUGGUUAUUUUUGCUGUUGUCUGAUGUGUUAUUAGUGGCCUUUAUAUGUAGAAAUGUAUUGUAUGUGUGUUGUAUAUUUGGCUUGGGGUGGAGAUUGCAAUGUGAUGUUGUUUAGGUGUCUCACGUAUGUCUUAUCUCCUGCCUUUUUAUUUGAUGGAAAUAGAAUCUGACUUAGCAAAGCUUUUUGAAGAGCAAAAUUUAUAUUCAUCUGAUAGAUUUUUGGACCAGAUGCUAAAUAUCCCACACAUAUUGUAUUGCUUCUCUUUUCUAGCCGGUUUAAUAAUAAUAUUGGUAUGAAAUAUUGAGAAAUAAUAUGUUUUGAUAAUAGUUUGCAUCUAUAUUAUUUUUUUCCUUUUCAAUGGACAAUACAACAA